rnacentral:tRNA from 1 species
GCCGAGAUAGCUAAGCCCGGUACGGCGCGAGCCUGGAGAGCUCGUGGUGCUUGUUCACCUCGGGGGUUCGAAUCCCCCUCUCGGCG